AUGUCCGGAGCGGGAGGCAAGUGGAUGGUCUCCUCCGGCACGGAGGGGCAUAUCCAGAAGCUGAGCAGCGCCGGAUACCUGUCCAGCGACAUCGCGCAUCGGCUCCCCGAAGAGGGAGAGCUCAUCCCCACCCCUAGGCCCCAUGAGAGGGUAGUAUUCCUUCCCCAUUUUCUCCGCGGACUAGGCUUCCCACUUCAUCCCUUUGUCCGGGGGCUCAUGUUCUAUUAUGGCCUAGAUUUCCAUGAUCUGGCCCCGAAUUUUAUUCUCGACAUCUCGGCGUUUAUCGUCGUGUGCGAGGCCUUCCUCUGCAUCCGGCCCCACUUUGGCUUGUGGCUCAAGACCUUCAGUGUCAAGCCGAAGGUUGUGAAGGGCAGCCAAGCGGAGUGCGGAGGCGCCAUGGUGGGCAGGAUGUCCCAUGUUACGUGGCUGGAGGGCACCUUUGUGGAAACCAUCAAGGGGUAG
rnacentral:rRNA from 1 species